CCACCACGCUGCUCCACUGCGGGUUGGUGGAGGUGUUUUUACGGCCAAUAGCCGGGACCAACGGCUUAACGUGCCCUCCGAAGCACGGAAUCAUCUUACUUUUUCGGACAAUCAGGUGACUCAAGCCUGAAAAGUCCUUACCAAACAGGACAGUCUCACACAGUGAUUUCGACAAUGUCCCCAUCGGGAAUCGAACCCGGACCUCCAGAUCGUGAGCGUAACGCUCUAACCACUAGACCACGGAGGCUGUUGACACACAUCUAACAAUUAGAUUAUAAACGAUAUAAAUCGUCGCUGGCGUCGCUAACGGACAUAUCUGAAAAUUUUGGAGAAUCUGAUACUGCAGCUUUUGCUAUAUUGUCACAUCAUCAUCAGCCCAUUAACGUCCCCACCGCUGUGGCACGGGCCUUCCCUAUGGAUGGAUAGGGAGAUCGGGCCUUAAACCACUACGCCGGCCCAGUGCAGAUUGCUAAUGCAGCCGGGACCAACGGCUUAACGUGCCUUCCGAAGCAAAGAGGAGCUCGAGAUGAAAACUUUUUUUGUGGUCACCCAUCCUAUGACCGGCCUUUGCGAAAGUUGCUUAACUUCAACAAUCGCAGACCGAGCGCGUUUACCGCUGCGCCGCGCAAUAAGACACAAAUUAUUUUAGCAAAAAAUUGCAGUUUGCAAAGUCAGCCACGAAAUGAAGUAAUUCCAUUAUCGAUGAUACUGUUGAUAGGCAUAUCGAUAUAGGGGCUUAGAAAAUAAUCGAUUAUUAAUCGAUAUACAGUCGAUUAUCGGGAAACACUUAGUCAAAUGCAAACGUAUUUUUAAUUAAAAAAAGUAACGCUUGUAAACCGAUAUAGCGAAGGCUAGAUACUCAUAUUUAUAGCGAAGGACUUUCCACGCUACGUUCCCAAAAAUAAUAUAGAUAGCGCUGUACAGAUAUAACGUGAUAAUUACCUAUUUUCUCAUUAAAUAAUAAUAAAAAGAAAAAAAAAGAAGAUACUGAUUGCAGAUAUAAAACAAAUGUAAAUGUAAAUAUUCAAAUUCAAUUCAAUUCUAAUUCAAUUUUAUAUUUUUUAUUUUAUUUAGAUAUAAAUAUUCGUAUUCGUAGAUAUAGAUAAAAAAAUAGCCCGGGAAAAAAACAACCACAAGAAACAAUAUAAUAGCAGAAUCAUAAAUAAAAAUAAUUGUUGCUUAAUAUUUAGUUCAAAUUAUUUAUAUAAUUAUGUUGCUACCUAUAUUGCUUCUCUUUAUUAUGAUCAGAACAAUAAUGGGUGGAAGUUGUAAUUGUGCCUGGGUGUAAUAACAAGGGUCAUCAUUUAUAGACAAAAACAAAGAUAAAAGAUGCACAUGUCUGUUAUCUAUGAAAGUAGGUUAAACGAAGGCAACUUUGUACAGCGCCAUCUAUACAGGGUGUUAGUGACAUCGUAACGAAUGCUGAAGGGGAUGGUUCAGACCAUGAUUCUGAGUUAAUAUCAAGUGGAAUUUUUCGUCGCAAAAUUCAUGACUUUUAGUUUUUUUUAUAUUAUUUUCAAUUCUGUACUUUUACGACGGUAAAUUAUACUUGAUAUUAACUCAGAAUAAUGAGCUGUUUCAUGCCUCUCGGUAUUCGUUACAAUGUCGCUUACACCCCGUACAAGUACAUACAGGUACCCAUACAACUAGGUAUGGGUGUUAGUGACACCAUAACGAAUACUGAGGGGGAUGGUUCAGACCAUGAUUCUGAGUUGAUAUCAAGUGGAAUUUCCUGUCGGAAAAUUCAUGAAAAUGUGUUUUUUAUCAUUAUUUUCAGUCCCCUACUUUUGCGACGUAAAUUCCACUUGAUAUCAACUCAGAAUCAUGGUCUGAAUCAUCCCUCAAAGUUUUCGUUACGAUGUCACUAACACCAUAUUUUUGGGGACUAUAGCCUU